GUUUCUUAAGCACAUAUACUAAAAUUGGAACCAUACAGAGAAGAUUAUCAUGACCCCUGCACAUUGUGUGUUCUUUAUCCAGAGUCUGUUCUUCUUU
rnacentral:snRNA from 1 species